GGUGUGAACCGUGACGGUUAGGUUGAUCCGAGACGCCGGAAGGGUGAAUGUCCGGGUCUCGGAGUCGCGCGGGUUCGGAGCUUAAGUCUUGACCCGUGACAAAAGCACUAAGUUGUAUAGAUUUUAAGGUAACAACAAUGCGUAAAUCAGUUUUGGAAAUGUCAUCUAAAUGGUUUGAUACUAUUUCUAAAUCAAGGUAAUAUUGGCUCAAAAUUUUUGCCGAAAGUAGGGGUUAGUUGGUUUUUUCCUUCUCUUUUUUUUUUUUGUUACUUUAUGAACUUGCACGGUCAUAGGAUAGGCUUGCAUGAUCAGCUUGUGAAGGAAAGGUGCUUGCAUGGUCAUAGGAUGAAUUAGUGAAAUUAUCUCUUUAUGCUCGUGCAAUAACAGAUGUGGAGGAUGAGGAAUUAAGAAGCUUCUUUUAUGGAAUGUCACCUUAGCAAUUCAUGCUUAUGGUUGCUGCCAGCUUAGUCGAAGUGGAGCUUUUCUACGGGAUGCUGUUCAGGGAGCAUUGGCUGAUAUAUUCCUUAGAGGCACUGAGUUGGUUUUGGAUACUCGAGGAAUGGCAUCACUGACUGGUGUGCUGCCUCCCUUUGUACCAUUUUCUCAGGCAUUUGCAGUUGUAAUAACAACAGCUUUUAUAGGUUCUCUUUAUUAUGUGGCUGCCUCUCCAAAAGGUAGAUUCUGUCUGUCUUUUUUGAGAAAUUUUUAGUUAUCGUCAAGUUCAAUUUUUAUUUAGUUUUUACUUUUCUUUCUCCCAUUUUUAGAUUCUACUUAUGUAGUUGCACUCAGUGAACUUCAAGUUUAUUAACUUGUCCUAGACAAUGAUGCAGUGAACUUCAAGUUUAUUAACUUGUCCUAGACAAUGAUGUCUUUUAAUGGUGAGCUUGCUUAACUUUUAAAUAUCAUGAUCCAAUUUGUUGCUAGUAAAUAUUGAAGCAUUCUAUGUAUAAUUGGUAAGAAUUUGUGAGAUUGUGGAUGUAUUAAGAAUUAAAAGAGAACUUUUAGUUUUGCAUGUCUAAUCCAAUGUCUCCAAAACCCAUAAAGUUAGUGAUUCAAGAAAUCAAAGUCACUUGUUAUUUUCUACACCGGAAUGUCUCCUUUAUAUUUCUUUGAAGUGGGCAAUAUAAGCACAAAGAUGCAUUUGAGAGUUGCGCAUGAUGCUGUUGUAUUUUGUGUUUCUUCAAUUGGUUCUAUUGAUGCUUUUUGCAAGAGGUGGAAAAAGGGUUUUUUUUUUUUUUUUUUCGCUGUUUGAUUUUAAUUAUUUAAAAGCUUCAUACAUUUUAUUUUCCAAUUUAAUUAACAUCUAAUGGAGGGUGUUCAUUUCUUAUUUUUCUCCAUUUCUGUUUGUUACGAGGUGAAUAGUUAGCUGCAGAUAGGACCAAUAUAUGUUGAUAUAUUUGACUUCAGUGACCAGCACUCAUUUCAAAGAUAUUCAUACGAUGAGAGAAUGAGUUAGACAACUUCAAGACAAAUUUGGUUUUAAGCCAAUUGUUAUAGUUACAGAAAAGGUGAGUAACCAAAGAAACUGGUUUUGAUACAUGCAGCAGAGUUUUCUUGAUAUGAAUCUUUCAAUCAGUUUUAGUCCUUGACAGGUUGCUCUAGAAAUCUUUAACCAUUUGAUCCAAAAUAAUAAUGAACUCUUAUUUGCUUUUAGAAUUUAUCUUUCAAUCCUUAAUCCUUCAUCCUUUUCUUAGAAGAAGUGUAUCAGAGGUUGUAAGGAUAAGCUUGCUAUCUUGCUUAUAAGUGUCAUAGAUAGGAUUUUGUGGUAUUUGUUUCACAUGUUCUUAUGAUGAUGACUUGGUAAACUAAAUACAUGGACAAUUUUAAUACUGUUUUUCUAAAACUUUGUUAAUAUGUUUUCUAAUUGUAGAAAACUAAAUAAUAUUUGUUAUCGUUCACUGUAAAAUUAAAAAUAGUUUUUGAGUUACUAUUGUAAUAUCUUUAUUGUUGUUGAAUAUUGAAUAAUUUAAAAUAAUUUAUGUUGCAAAGAACUUAUUGCAGUAGCGAAGCAUGGGUUAUCUCCUAGUAAAUAUAUAAAAUCCAAAGUUUUUUAUAAAAAAGAUAAUUGUCCUACAUGGAUGGUCUAAUUUUUUUACAUGUGAACAAUCUUAAAUAACUUUCAUGUGUCCAUUAUUAAAUGGGUUUUAUUUAAUUUGACUUGAUUUUCAUCAAAUUAAUUACAUUCAUAUAAGAUAGCUUAAAUAUCUUUUUUAUU